UGCUUCCUAGCUCAAAUGGGAGAGCGCCGCACUGUUAAUGCGGUGGUUCCGGGUUCGAGUCCCGGGGAAGCAG
rnacentral:tRNA from 1 species